UACGUAGGGUGCAAGCGUUUAAUCGGAAUUACUGGGCGUAAAGCGUGCGCAGGCGGUUGUGCAAGACAGAUGUGAAAUCCCCGGGCUCAACCUGGGAACUGCAUUUGUGACUGCAUGGCUAGAGUGCGGCAGAGGGGGAUGGAAUUCCGCGUGUAGCAGUGAAAUGCGUAGAUAUGCGGAGGAACACCGAUGGCGAAGGCAAUCCCCUGGGCCUGCACUGACGCUCAUGCACGAAAGCGUGGGGAGCAAACAGG
rnacentral:rRNA from 1 species